UACGAGUGCUCCAAGCGUUAUCCGGAAUCAUUGGGCGUAAAGGGUGUGUAGGCGGCUGUGUUAGUCUUCCGUUAAAUUCUUCGGCUUAACCGGGGGCAUGCGGAAGAAACGGCACAACUAGAGGAUGCGAGAGGUGAAUGGAACUCAUGGAGUAGGGGUGAAAUCCGUUGAUAUCAUGGGGAACACCAAAGCGAAGGCAAUUCACUGGCGCACUCCUGACGCUGAAACACGAAAGCGUAGGUAGCGAAAUGGG
rnacentral:rRNA from 1 species